rnacentral:lncRNA from 1 species
UUCUAAGGAAGGAAGAAAAAGGGGGGAGCAGAGUAGAGCAGAGGGCUAGGGCCACCUUCUGGUUUGGGGAGAAGUCUCUGCCUUCUCCUUGGAGAGGCCUUCAGAGUCAGUAAUUCAUGAAGACUGCAUUUAAUUAAAGCACUGGGAAAGCACCACUUCUGGGAAUCCCAUGGCUGCUACUACAAAAACAACUCCAGAUACUGAGCCACUCUCUUAGGUAAUCAGCCACUUGCUUAUUAUCAUGUGC